GGCCGUUAUAAAAUUUUAACUGCUUCGAAAGAGUUAGAUUAUGAUAAGAAGGCAAUUUCAAGAUGGUUUAAAAAAUUUCGAAAGGUAUGUGGAUUCCAUAUAGCCUCGAAUCAUUCAAAGAUCGGGGGGCCUGGCCACGUUAUUGAAAUUGAUGAAACUCAUGUAUGGAAGCGUAAAUAUAACCGUGGUCGGCAUUUGACUUCCGAGGCUAUAUGGAUUAUUGGUGGUAUAUGUCGGGAAACAAAUGAGAUAUUUUUAAGUGCCACCACAACAAGAGAUCAAGAUACCACCUAUCGUGUGGUUAAAGAUAAUGUUAUGCAAGAUUCCACGAUAAUGACUGACUCGUGGUUAGGAUAUAAUCGGC